UUCGAAAUGAAUGGGCCGGAGCAGCACGAACCCCUGCUUCUGUUUGUUCCCCUUGGCCUUGGGAGAGAAGAAUGUCGUCGGCGGCGCUCCGCCGCCACCUCCUCCGCCUUCCCGCCCGCCGCCGCCUCCUCUGCGCCUCCUCCUCCUCCUCCCCUCCCUCGGCGCCGGACCACGGGUGCCAUGGCUCCGCGGCGACGGAGGCGGGGGUGGUGGAGCUGAACCCGCCGCGCGGCACCAGGGACUUCCCGCCGGAGGAGAUGCGCCUGCGCACCUGGCUCUUCGACCACUUCAGGGAGGUGUCCCGGCUGAUGGCGUUCGAGGAGGUGGACUUCCCGGUGCUCGAGUCGGAGGCGCUCUUCGUCCGCAAGGCCGGCGAGGAGAUCACGGAGCAGCUCUACAGCUUCGAGGACAAGGGCGGCCGCCGCGUGGCCCUCCGGCCGGAGAUCACCCCGUCCCUCGCGCGCCUGGUCAUCCGGCGAGGGACCUCGGCGCCCCUCCCGCUCAAGUGGUUCACCAUAGGCCAGUGCUGGCGCUACGAGCGCAUGACCAGAGGGAGGCGCCGCGAGCACUACCAGUGGAACAUGGACGUCUUCGGCGUGCCCGGCGUUCGCGCCGAGGCCGAGCUUCUCCAGGCCAUUGUGCUCCUCUUCGAGCGCCUCGGGGUCGCGUCCUCCGACGUGGGGAUCAGGCUCUCCAGCCGGAAGGUUCUGCAGGUGGUGCUCGACAUGUACUCCGUGCCGCAGCACCUGUUCACCAAGGUCUGUGUGAUUGUUGACAAGCUGGGGAAGAUGAGCAGAGACGAGAUUGAGAAGGAAUUGGUCUCCACUGGGCUGCCAUGUGAAGCUGUGCAGGGCAUCAUUGAUGUGCUUUCUCUGAAGUCACUGUCUGAGCUCGAACAGGUGCUGGGCUCUGGUGCUGCUGAAGCUGUUGCUGACCUGAAGAAGCUCUUCUCCUUCGCCGAGCAGUAUGGUUACGCCGAUUGGAUCUGUUUCGACGCGUCGGUUGUUCGCGGCCUUGCGUACUACACGGGGAUCGUGUUCGAGGCUUUCGAUAGGCAAGGGGAGCUGAGGGCGAUCUGCGGUGGGGGGAGGUAUGAUAGGCUGCUUUCAACAUUUGGAAGUGAAGAUGUGCCGGCCUGUGGGUUUGGGUUUGGGGACGCUGUUAUCGUCGAACUGCUGAAAGAGAAGGGUCUUCUGCCUCAUCUGUCGCCCCAAAUAGACGACAUUGUCUUCCCAUUGGAUGAUGAGCUUCAGGGACCAGCAUCCUGUGUCGCAUCCUCUCUGCGGAAGAAUGGCAGAUCUGUAGACCUUGUGCAAGACAAGCGUCUGAAAUGGGUGUUUAAACAUGCGGAGAGGGUAAAUGCUAGCAGGCUGGUUCUGGUUGGGAAAUCUGAGUGGGAGCGAGGCAUGGUUCGUGUGAAGAUUCUGUCUACCAAAGAGGAAUUUGAGGUCAAGGCAGGCGAAUUACAGUAAUUGCUAGCCAAUCUGGAGUGGUUUCAAAACUGAGACGUUGCGAUAGCAAAUCAGUAAGCCAACUCUGGAAGGUUACUAAUUCAACAACAACAAAAAAGACUGGAAGGUUACUGACGGUACACGAAGCACGGUCAACUUGAUAACGAAUACUAUUCCUGCAAGAAAUCGCAAAACAAGCAGAAAUUACAGUUUUGAGAAUAAGUAUAUGGAUGGUUCUGGUGGCGGUCUUGAUGGUAGAUGUAGCUGACACUUGCGAAGAUUCACAGGUGGCACCGGUGGCCAGCGUUAACUAAGAAAAAUCCAGUCUAAACUGUAGUGAGUUGUGUUGUACAUAAAGGAGGGACAGGGGGCGCCCAAAGGGAAUGAAUACCAAGAGACUUUCAGUUCCAGCACCUUUGGUUUGCCCCUUUCUUUCUUUGAUCGGUCGUGAGCAGAGGCUGGUGGAUGAUGGCAACAUGUGAUGGCCGGCGAAGGAGGGACAUCGACGGCAUUGUCUCGAGGGAUCAACCUAAACCUUGUGCUUGAUCAUCCUUUAUGGCUUCACCAAAUGUCCUUCGCCCUUGAACUAUGGCUGUGAUAACCUGGGAAGGGAAGGACAUGUCAGGAGCCUCCACGAUUAGGGGGCCGGUCGCUGCUGUGACGAUGUGACCCUUUCUUUGUGUCGGCCUGGCUCCGCUUCAAGGCAAGGAUGCUACAGAUUUCUAGCAGGAGAACGAGUGAGAAUAAUGGGGCACGAGGCAUGGAAAAUUAGUCCAGCAAGGCUCGGUUUGUGGUUGUUAAACUGUGGUGUGGUGCUACUUUUUAUUAUGCAUAUAUAAAUGCAUAAUUUGCCAUGGAAAAUUAGUCCCAAAAGUAUACAGGCAGAAACAGGUUGAGCAAAUGGGAUUGUGAUAGACCACUGCAAUGUCAAACACACUCUAAGCCUUCCAAGCUGAUGGUUAAAUCAUUUUGUUCUGGAAUCGA